AGGUUUGUGUAUAUUUGGGACACAACAUCCCGUAGGAUCCUUUAUAAGCUCCCGGGUCAUGCUGGGUCUGUAAAUGAGGUCGCUUUCCAUCCAGAAGAACCAAUUGUUCUCUCUGGAUCCAGUGAUAAACGCCUCUACAUCGGAGAGAUUCAAUAACUGUGUGUUUGUGUGUGCGAAUGCUGUUUAUGUGACUGUGUCUGAAUGUGUGAGUGAGAAGAGGAUGGGUAGAGGGGGAUAUGAUUUGGACUUUUGCCAAUAGUGUUUGAUUUGAAAACAGUGAUGAACAGUUGGGGGAAAAUGUUGAACGUUGGCUUUUUUAUGCUUUUAAUAAACCUGUUUCUAGAAUUA